rnacentral:rRNA from 1 species
UACGGGGGGGGCAAGCGUUGUUCGGAAUUACUGGGCGUAAAGGGCUCGUAGGCGGCCAACUAAGUCGGAUGUGAAAUCCCCAGGCUCAACCUGGGAACUGCAUCCGAUACUGGAUGGCUUGAAUUCGGGAGAGGGAUGCAGAAUUCCAGGUGUAGCGGUGAAAUGCGUAGAUAUCUGGAGGAAUACCGGUGGCGAAGGCGGCAUCCUGGACCGUAACUGACGCUGAGGAGCGAAAGCAUGGGGAGCGAACAGG